CGUGUGUUAGCAUGCCAACAUUUGCUAAAAAGUACAGCUGAGGCUGAUGGGAAUGUUUUCAGUUGGAGGUAUUUAGUCAUAUAUUAAAAUAUUGGACAAAAUAAAACUCAUGAUGAAUAUAUAGAGAUAUUUCAGUCUGGACCAAAGUGGUGGACUGUAAACAUCACCAUCAUUGCCAGCUAGCAGGGCUAAACACCACAGAAGAAGAGGACAGAGUUUCAGUCUGUCUGGACUUUUCUCCUUUUCUUUGUCUCUCCUCAGUUUCAGCCUUCAGUCGGUGUGUCGACAGCCUUUCAGAAGAGUCUUUACAGUAUAUUUUUAUUCCCAGAGACAGGAAGUGUUUCUCGGUGGAUGGAGUUAUUCUCAGAAGGUCUACAUUCCUGCGUCUGAAUUGUCUUCAAGGCCACAAUGGAGCCUGAAGUCCAAACUAACAAGAAGUGUUUUUCCUCUCAGCAGCAGCUCAAAGAUAUUUGUUUAGCAACACUAAAAACUGCAACUUCCUGUUAAAUCAGCACCGAUCAUCUACCUGAACCUCCGUGUUUGCUGCCGGCGUAUCAGUCAGCAGAUUGUCGGGAUGCAGGACGCCCACACAGAAGACAGAGACUCUGCUCUCAGUGGACCAGCCUGAAUAAACAGAAGUUGAAUGAAUGAAUAUACAUUUAUACACAGUCUGACCUUCAUUGAUGCUCUCCAUUUAUCUGUUUUGCUUGUUCUCGUCUUGUAGAGGACGUCAAACACAUUCAGUCAGUUUGAAGGAAGCGACAAAGACUUUUCCCUGUAACGUCUGUUUCUUCCUGAUGUGCUGAUGUGUGUUGAGUCAACAGCUUUUUAUGACGUUUUUAUGGGAAAAAAAGGCAGUUUUAUCCUGUAGAAUAUGUUCAAGGCCUCCCAAAAC